GCAGCUCGGGUAGCCGCAGGGGCUCACCAACCGUGAGUUCUUGAGGAAAGUCCGGACACCAUAGAGCAGGGUGCUGGAUAACGUCCAGCGGGGGAAACCCCAGGGAAAGCGCCACAGAAAUUACACAGCACGCCGGCGCAGCCGGUUGCAAAGGUGAAAUGGUGCGGCAAGAGCGCACCGGCGUCGUGGUGACACGGCGGCCAGGCAAGCCCCACCCGGUGCAAGGCCGAAUAGAGAGGCGUCUGAGGGCUGCUCGCCCGAAGCCUCCGGGUUGGCCGCAUGAGCCGUCCGGCAACGGCCGGCCAUAGAUAGAUGGCUACCCAAGAGGCUGCUGGGGAAUGAGGCUCGCCGCCAGGGUGCGAUUGGCAUGCGCGAGAGAAGGACGCACUAUCGGGCCGCCUAGUGCGGUCCGGCGGCCGGGGCCUUAUUUCCCAGCAGCCUCAGGACAGAAUCCGGCUUACAGGGCUGCUACC
rnacentral:RNase_P_RNA from 2 species